UCCUUCUAAUGCAACUAACCGGAUCCUGGUGAUACAUUGGACACAGGUUUUGUAUCACACUGUCCACGAUUCACUGCCUUCCAAACAUCAGAUCUGCGCGGUGUCAAGGUGUCUCGUAUUCACUGUGAGGAUCUUCUGAGUGAAGCCAACAGAAGGAAAACCUCAUCUGGUUUUGAAGAAGGACACUGAAUGGACGACAUCCUCAGUGAACCACCUCCUGUUCAUCUUUCACUUACAGAAGGACAGACCAACUGUUUCAGCUGUUUAUUAUUCUCUGUUCUUAGUAUUCAAAGGUUCCAUUUAUCACCUUUAACUUACCGUAUUUUCACGACUAUAAGGCGCACAUAAAAGUCUUAGAUUUUCUUCAAAUUGUGCGGCGCGCCCUAUGGUGCAGUGCGUCCUCUGUGUGUUGUUGUAAGGCGGACGUAGACCAGGUGGUUUUUUCCACGCAUCACCAUCGCUGUUGAUCUGUGACUCUAUGCGUGCCCAUCUCACAGCCGAUGUGAAAAAACAAGUGAAGCAAAUGAACUCUGAGCUUGCUGUCAUUCCGCCUGACAAAGGAACUCCAACCGCUGGACAUCGGUGUGAACCGGCCGUUCAAAGUAAGGCUGCGAGCGGCGUGGGAGCGAUGGAUGACCGAUGGAGACCACAGUUUCACUAAGAGUGGAAGGCAGCGCCGGGCGAGUUACGCCACAAUUUGCGAAUGGAUUGUAAAUGCUUGGGCUAACGUGUCUGCUGGCACUGUUGUUCGAGCUUUCGCAAAAGCCGGCAUCAUUUCCGAGGCGCCGCACGGCACGGAAAGUGACUCUGACAGUGAAGAAAGUGAACCUGGCAUGUUUGAUGGAGGUUUAGCGCAGCUGUUCAAUUCAGAAACAGAGGAUGAGGACUUCCAUGGGUUUGAUUGAUGACGAUUACCGGUAAAAAAAAAAUGUGAAUACCAAACUCAGUUUUGCUCCCGCUCUAUUUUUAAAUACGCACACUUGUGUGCUUGUUUUAUCUGUGUUUUACCAUGCCCGCGCCUAUUGAUGAUUAAAAAAAUGUUAGUACUUUGUAAUCAAUACUUAAAUAAAGCACAACCAAACUCA